AAGUUAAAAACGAAAACACCUCAUAUAUACUCGGGAAUAUGGCUCGAACGUUUCUACCCGGCAACCGUAAAUUGCCGGACUAUGAGGGGAAGUCAUUACGCG
rnacentral:ncRNA from 2 species